rnacentral:tRNA from 2 species
GGGAGUGCAUCAGUGCUGGUGUGCUGCCUGGUCUUCAAAACCUGUGGGGUCCCACCUCGAGUGGGUCCCGGUGGGUUCGAUUCCCAUGCACUCCCGCCA